ACACUCCUACGGGAGGCAGCAGUGAGGAAUAUUGGACAAUGGGUGGAAGCCUGAUCCAGCCAUCCCGCGUGCAGGAAGACGGCCCUAUGGGUUGUAAACUGCUUUUAUCUGGGGAUAAACCUACUUACGUGUAAGUAGCUGAAGGUACCAGAAGAAUAAGCACCGGCUAACUCCGUGCCAGCAGCCGCGGUAAUACGGAGGGUGCAAGCGUUAUCCGGAUUUAUUGGGUUUAAAGGGUCCGUAGGCGGACUGAUAAGUCAGUGGUGAAAUCCGACAGCUUAACUGUCGAACUGCCAUUGAUACUGUUAGUCUUGAGUAAGGUUGAAGUGGCUGGAAUAAGUAGUGUAGCGGUGAAAUGCAUAGAUAUUACUUAGAACACCAAUUGCGAAGGCAGGUCACUAAGUCUUAACUGACGCUGAUGGACGAAAGCGUGGGGAGCGAACAGGAUUAGAAACCCUGUAGUCCCAUGA
rnacentral:rRNA from 1 species